rnacentral:rRNA from 1 species
AUUGAACGCUGGCGGCAGGCCUAACACAUGCAAGUCGAGCGGAUGAAGGGAGCUUGCUCCUGGAUUCAGCGGCGGACGGGUGAGUAAUGCCUAGGAAUCUGCCUGGUAGUGGGGGGUAACGUCCGGAAACGGGCGCUAAUACCGCAUACGUCCUGAGGGAGAAAGUGGGGGAUCUUUGGACCUCACGCUAUCAGAUGAGCCUAGGUCGGAUUAGCUAGUUGGUGGGGUAAAGGCCUACCAAGGCGACGAUCCGUAACUGGUCUGAGAGGAUGAUCAGUCACACUGGAACUGAGACACGGUCCAGACUCCUACGGGAGGCAGCAGUGGGGAAUAUUGGACAAUGGGCGAAAGCCUGAUCCAGCCAUGCCGCGUGUGUGAAGAAGGUCUUCGGAUUGUAAAGCACUUUAAGUUGGGAGGAAGGGCAGUAAGUUAACACCUUGCUGUUAUGACGUUACCAACAGAAUAAGCACCGGCUAACUUCGUG